GGGGGACAGAACCUGGAGGCCCCACCAGUAGGGCUUAGGGUGGAGCCUGGUGAGGAGAGAGUUAAGCCUAGGCUCCACCACCUGCAGGAUUAAUUGAUCGCCUUUGGACCCCCAGCUGCAGCCCUGGGCCCCUCAACCAAUGAGAUGCGAGGAUGGAUUCGGGCAGGGCUCCCAUUGGCUUACUCCGCCCCUCUGGGGAGACAGGAGCCCCUUUAAUUAGCGCGGACUGUUUGCUCGGCUCUAAGCAGAGCUUCCAGGAACUCUGCUCGAUAGAGAGAUGGUGAGGUUCAGAGAGGAACAGGGAGUUAGUUGCCCGCAGCCGCACAGUACGUCUUCAGCCUGACCCCUCAGUCCUGUCUCCCGUCCUAUUCCCACCAUGGCCUCCUGGACGGAGCUGAUGCUGCUGCUUUGGAAGAAUUUCCUGUACCGCAGGAGGCAGCCGGUAAUGUCUGGUCGGGUGGGCCAGGGAGGGGCGGCCCGGGCGCCCCCCACGGUCCCCCACUCCCCCCCGCCUGUUCUGCCCCCGCAGUUGCAGCUCUUGGUGGAGCUGAUGUGGCCGCACGCCAUUCCCACCCCCAACUUGGGCAGCAUGAAUGGCCUCAUCUGCAACAUGAGCAACACCUGUUUCCCACGGCCCACGCCCACCGAGGAGCCUGGCGUCCUCGUCCUCGGCACCUUCAGGACUCCCUGGUCUCCCGGCUCCUGGCAGAUGCCCACAGGAUGCUGGCUAGCCCGAGGCAGCUUAUGCC
rnacentral:lncRNA from 1 species